UACGUAGGUGGCGAGCGUUAUCCGGAUUUACUGGGUGUAAAGGGUGUGUAGGCGGAGAGACAAGUCAGGUGUGAAAAUUACGGGCUCAACCCGUAACCUGCGCCUGAAACUGUUUCCCUUGAGAGUCGGAGGGGUAGAUAGAAUUCCCAGUGUAGCGGUGAAAUGCGUAGAUAUUGGGAGGAAUACCGGUGGCGAAGGCGAUCUACUGGACGACAACUGACGCUGAGACACGAAAGUGUGGGGAGCAAACAGG
rnacentral:misc_RNA from 1 species